rnacentral:rRNA from 1 species
UACGAAGGGUGCAAGCGUUACUCGGAAUUACUGGGCGUAAAGCGUGCGUAGGCGGUUUGUUAAGUCUGUCGUGAAAGCCCUGGGCUCAACCUGGGAAUUGCGAUGGAUACUGGCAAGCUAGAGUACGGUAGAGGAUGGUGGAAUUCCCGGUGUAGCGGUGAAAUGCGUAGAGAUCGGGAGGAACACCGGUGGCGAAGGCGGCUCUCUGGACCACUACUGACGCUGAGGCACGAAGGCCAGGGGAGCAAACGGG